rnacentral:rRNA from 1 species
UGGCUCAGGAUGAACGCUGGCGGCGUGCUUAACACAUGCAAGUCGAACGAUGAUGCCCAGCUUGCUGGGUGGAUUAGUGGCGAACGGGUGAGUAACACGUGAGUAACCUGCCCUUGACUCUGGGAUAAGCCUGGGAAACUGGGUCUAAUACCGGAUAUGACUGCUCCGCGCAUGCGGUGGUGGUGGAAAGCUUUUGCGGUUUUGGAUGGACUCGCGGCCUAUCAGCUUGUUGGUGGGGUAAUGGCCUACCAAGGCGACGACGGGUAGCCGGCCUGAGAGGGUGACCGGCCACACUGGGACUGAGACACGGCCCAGACUCCUACGGGAGGCAGCAGUGGGGAAUAUUGCACAAUGGGCGCAAGCCUGAUGCAGCGACGCCGCGUGAGGGAUGACGGCCUUCGGGUUGUAAACCUCUUUCAGUAGGGAAGAAGCGUAAGUGACGGUACCUGCAGAAGAAGCGCCGGCUAACUACGUGCCAGCAGCCGCGGUAAUACGUAGGGCGCAAGCGUUAUCCGGAAUUAUUGGGCGUAAAGAGCUCGUAGGCGGUUUGUCGCGUCUGCUGUGAAAGACCGGGGCUCAACUCCGGUUCUGCAGUGGGUACGGGCAGACUAGAGUGAUGUAGGGGAGACUGGAAUUCCUGGUGUAGCGGUGAAAUGCGCAGAUAUCAGGAGGAACACCGAUGGCGAAGGCAGGUCUCUGGGCAUUAACUGACGCUGAGGAGCGAAAGCAUGGGGAGCGAACAGGAUUAGAUACCCUGGUAGUCCAUGCCGUAAACGUUGGGCACUAGGUGUGGGGGACAUUCCACGUUUUCCGCGCCGUAGCUAACGCAUUAAGUGCCCCGCCUGGGGAGU